rnacentral:rRNA from 1 species
GCGUGUGUGAUGAAGGCCUUAGGGUUGUAAAGCACUUUCACUGGUGAAGAUGAUGACGGUAACCAGAGAAGAAGCCCCGGCUAACUUCGUGCCAGCAGCCGCGGUAAUACGAAGGGGGCGAGCGUUGUUCGGAAUCACUGGGCUUAAAGCGUGCGUAGGCGGAUUUACAAGUCAGGAGUGAAAUCCCGGGGCUCAACCCCGGAACUGCUCUUGAAACUGUAAGUCUAGAAACCAGUAGGGGUGAGUGGAAUUCCGAGUGUAGAGGUGAAAUUCGC